AGCUGCAUUAUUUGACGUUAGCGACAGAAGAAGCACCGGCUAACUCCGUGCCAGCAGCCGCGGUAAUACGGAGGGUGCGAGCGUUAAUCGGAAUUACUGGGCGUAAAGCGCAUGCAGGUGGUUUGUUAAGUCAGAUGUGAAAGACCCGGGGCGUCAACCUCGGAAUAGCAUUUGAAACUGGCAGACUAGAGUACUGUAGAGGGGGGUAGGAAUUUCAGGUGUAGCGGUGAAAUGCGUAGAGAUCUGAAGGAAUACCGGUGGCGAAGGCGGCCCCCUCGGACAGAUACUGACACUCAGAUGCGAAAGCGUGGGGAGCAAACAGGAUUAGAUACCCUGGUAG
rnacentral:rRNA from 1 species